GCCUGGGUGGUUCAGUCGGUUAAGCGUCCGACUUUGACUCAGGUCAUGAUCUUGCAAUCGGUGGGUUCGAGCCCCACAUCAGGCU
rnacentral:tRNA from 1 species